GAUGAACGCUGGCGGUGUGCCUUAUGCAUGCAAGUCGUACGAGGUUAUGGUCUUCGGAUUGUAACCGAGUGGCGGACGGCUGAGUAACACGUAAGCAACCUGCCUUCAAGUGGGGAAUAACCUGUCGAAAGGCAGGCUAAUACCGCAUAUGAUAAUCGAGUGUUGCUCGAUUAUUAAAGCCUUAGGGCGCUUGGAGAUGGGCUUGCGUCUGAUUAGCUAGUUGGUGAGGUAAUGGCUUACCAAGGCGAUAAUCAGUAGCUGGUCUGAGAGGAUGGUUAGCCAGAUGGGGACUGAGAUACGGCCCCAACUCCUACGGGAGGCAGCAGCAAGGGAUCUUGGGCAAUGGGCGAAAGCCUGACCCAGCGACACCGCGUGAGGGAGGAAGGCCUUCGGGUCGUAAACCUCUUUUCUCGAGGAAGAAUUUUGACGGUACUCGAGGAAUAAGCCUCGGCUAACUACGUGCCAGCAGCCGCGGUAAGACGUAGGAGGCGAACGUUAUCCGGAUUUAUUGGGCGUAAAGAGAGCGUAGGCGGCUUUUUAAGUCAAGUGUGAAAUCUUGUGACUCAAUCAGAAGAAGCCGCUUGAUACUGGAAGGCUUGAGGGAAGCAGAAGGAAAUGGAAUUCCCAGUGUAGCGGUGAAAUGCGUUGAUAUUGGGAAGAACACCAGUGGCGAAGGCGAUUUCCUAGGCUUUUCCUGACGCUGAGGCUCGAAAGCGUGGGGAGCGAAGCGGAUUAGAUACCCGCGUAGUCCACGCCUUAAACGGUGGACAUUAGGUAUGGGGAGUAUCGACCCUCUCCGUGUCGAAGCUGACGCUUUAAAUGUCCCGCCUGGGGAGUACGGCCGCAAGGCUA
rnacentral:rRNA from 1 species